rnacentral:rRNA from 1 species
CCCUGAUGCCCUUAGAUGUCCUGGGCCGCACGCGCGCUACACUGAGUGUCUGAGAUAUGAGGCAUGCCUGGUCCGGCAAGGUCUAGGUAAUAACGAAAAGGCACAUCAUGCUUGGGAUUGAUUAUUGCAAAUUUUAAUCAUGAACGAGGAAUUCCUAGUAAGUGCAAGUCAACAGCUUGCGUUGAUUACGUCCCUGCCCUUUGUACACACCGCCCGUCGCUACUACUGAUUGGAUGUUUAAGCGAGGUUCUCGAACUGCUAGUGACUGAUCUUCGGUGAGGUCGCAGUGUGGGAAGUGAACCUAGCUUUGGUGUCUAGAGGAAGUAAAAGUCGUAACA